GGAAAGGGCAGGCAUAUUGGAAGUUAUCAAUGGAUGACAGGGCUUAUACAAACGCUAAUUAUGUUGUGGAAUAUAUGGCAAUAAACAGAACUGGCCUCUUUCUGUUCAGUCAUAAUGGAUCAGCUGUUGUAAUUCAGAUGAGUUUGUCACCAUCUGACUUCCGAAUUGCCCAGUUGGAUGCUUCUGGCCACUUUAUAAUCAGACGUUUUUCUGGUAGUGACGGGGAACAGGAAUUUGUAGGGCCAAUUAAUGGUUGUCAAAUUCCACUUGUCUGUGGCAGAAUUGGAUUGUGCGUUGCUGCUCAGUCC
rnacentral:misc_RNA from 1 species